CCGCCACAAAAGAGAGCCUAUCUCAGCGGUGACCCUUGCGGUCCUUCUUGGCCUGGGUGCUUCUGGGACCGUGACCGGAAUCGCAGCCCUUGUGUCGUCUCAACAGAAUGCACACAAUUACCAUCUGCUCAAUGAGUCUAUUAGCCAAGAUAUAGAGGAUAUAAAAAGGGGCCUAGAUGAUCUUUCUGAUUCCUUGGUCUCCCUUUCAGAAGUUGCCCUUCAAAAUAGAAGGGGAUUAGAUUUGCUCUUUCUACAACAAGGAGGCUUAUGCGCUGCACUUAAGGAAGAAUGCUGCGUAUUUGUUGAUAAAACUGGAUUAGUUAAAGAUAGCAUUGCCAAGGUUACUGCCAGUUUAGAAAAAAGAAAAAGAGAGAGAACAACAAGAGUCAUGGUAUCAAAAUUGGUUUUCAGUCUCCCCCUGGCUUUCGACCUUGUUGCCCUCCCUUUUGGGGCCCCUAUUGGGACCCCUAUUAUUGAUUUCCUUUGGUCCUUGGGCAUUUCAAAAAUUGACCUGAUUUGUUAAAUCUCAAAUUGAUUCAUCUCUUUCAAGCGCAUCUGUUUCAGUUCAUUACCAUCGGCUGGAUGUUGGUGAUAACAAGCAGGUUACUGGAGAAGAGUCAGACGUGGAUGCAGCUUCAUCACCCUUGUCUUGGGGGAGAGAGACUCAAUUUCCAUAAAAUGCUUAAGCAAGAUCAUUCCCUUCCCCCUAAAUUCAGCCUCAUACCACGAAUCAUUUAUAGAUUGCCAUAGUCUGUGCUUCCGACAUGGUAAUAUACAUUCUCACCACAUUGGAAACUAAACAGUCAUCCCAGGCUAGACACAUCGUAAAAUUGGAACUUGAAGCCAUCGGCUGUGAGAGUUGUAAGGCUAAAGCACUGCACAGAGAUUAGUCUGGAAGCUGUUAGACAGUCUCUGAGAGGCAUGUCGGAUUGCAUGAAGGUUGAGUGCCCUAGGGUCCUUCCCCCAGGAAAAAAACGGCACGGGAGCAGGUCAGGGUUACUCUGGGUAAAAAUCUGUGGACCUGAGAGUCAAUCCUGUACAUGGCCCUUAACAUUGCACACUGGGGAUCAGACCUCUACCUCUACCCACGGAGCUUGCUUUGUUCCUAAAUCCCUUGGUUAGCCCAAGUUAUACCCAAAAGACUGGAACCGUUAAUUCAAGCCUCAUAGAUGACUUGUCCUUGUGUCCUUCAUGGUUUUAGAGAAUCACCCAGUGAACAAACAGACGUUUAGGCAGUCGUUAAAAACGUGGCUACAAAUUUAUUAUACAAUAUGCCUUUAUAAAAAUAUUAAAACAGGGGAGAUAUUGGGAGCUAUUAAGACAACACCAUUGUCCUGAUCUCUGAAUUGGGCCUCUCCCCCUGAGAAGAAAAGGGGGUCAAAAGCGGGCCACUGAUGCACCGUUCUGAGAACAACCACAGAAUGUUCCAGUCCUAAGUCAGUGCCAGAUGUCCUGACCUCAAGAUGUACCCUGAUACCGCCAAGUUCCUGCUUCCCCAUGUAGUCGCCAAAAGAAAAAUUUCUGCUGCCCCAUCCCUCCUGCUGAGGUGCAUUUCUGCUGCCCCAUUCCUCCUGCUGAGAAGUACUUCCCCUUUUGCUUGUGCAUUUAAACCUUGAGCCUUGCUAAUACAGUGAGACCUUGAUGUUACUCAGACUGCUUCUGUGUGUCGUUCAUUGCACAAGGUUCUCAUCUCUCUCUACCCCCCAUUUGGUUCUUAGUAGAAGGUCCCCUCGAGACCCUCGAAUAACUGGACCUGCUAGAUGGGUCAUGUUACAACUACCUUGCGGUCAUGUCUUUGUUUCAAAUGUUGUUAUGUUCAAUGUAUCAUGCUUAUGUUCUGCUUCUCUAACCCUGUCUAUUUUUGCCCCAUUUCAAAACCCUCUAUCCCUGAGCUAUAACCUUGUCUUCAUCAUGUCAAACACUGACCUCUUGAACCUGCCUUGUGCAACCCAAGUGCACAAGUAAAAAAUUUUGCUUUAAUCAAUUUGGCCAUGGUGACUUGGGUCUAUGGUCUUUCUCCUUCUUUGUAAUUAAAAAUAUCUCUCCCUAGCUGAACCUGUCGUUUAUUAUCGUUUGUUCAUUUGCUUGUUAGUUCUGCUUUCAUAUGGUUAUUUUGAAUAUUUUUAUUAA
rnacentral:lncRNA from 1 species